UACGAAGGGUGCAAGCGUUGCUCGGAAUUAUUGGGCGUAAAGGGUAGGUAGGUGGUGAUAAAAGUCUGAAGUGAAAUCCCUAAGCUUAACUUAGGACGUGCUUUGGAAACUUUAUCACUAGAGUACUAGAGAGGUUCGUGGAAUUCCUGGUGUAGCGGUGAAAUGCGUAGAGAUCAGGAGGAACAUCAGCGGCGAAGGCGGCGAACUGGAUAGUAACUGACACUCAACUACGAAAGCGUGGGGAGCAAACAGG
rnacentral:rRNA from 1 species